rnacentral:rRNA from 1 species
CACGUAGGGUGCGAGCGUUGUCCGGAAUUAUUGGGCGUAAAGAGCUCGUAGGCGGUCCGUCACGUCGGAUGUGAAAUUCCAGGGCUCAACCCUGGACCUGCAUUCGAUACGGGCGGACUAGAGUUCGGUAGGGGAGACUGGAAUUCCUGGUGUAGCGGUGAAAUGCGCAGAUAUCAGGAGGAACACCGGUGGCGAAGGCGGAUCUCUGGGCCGAUACUGACGCUGAGGAGCGAAAGCGUGGGGAGCGAACAGG